rnacentral:rRNA from 1 species
GAUGAACGCUAGCGGCAGGCCUAAUACAUGCAAGUCGGACGGGAUUUGGGAGCUUGCUCCCAAUGAGAGUGGCGCACGGGUGCGUAACACGUAUGUAACCUACCUUAGUCAGGGGGAUAGCCUCUCGAAAGAGAGAUUAAGACCGCAUAAAAUCACAGUAUAGCAUUAUACAAUGAUCAAAUAUUUAUAGGACUAAGAUGGGCAUGCGGAACAUUAGCUAGUUGGUGAGGUAACGGCCCACCAAGG